AAUCAGUGCUAGUUAUUGCUUUAUAUUUCUGAACAAGACGUUUCUGUCUGUUAGAAAUUGUUGCGACAUUUGCUUAGGGAUUCUCAUGUGCCAUGUUACUAGUUACACUGCUAUUGCUGGUCUCAUUUAGUUUAACAUACCACUGUUAGAUCUUAGAGGUAUAUAUUGCUAAAAAGAAUGCAUGAUCAUUGAUUCAUUGUGAUACCACCUGUGCUAACUUAUUUUGAGCUCCUCUUAUUCUUGCCGGCUCCCCGAUGGAGAUGAAUGAAGAAAGGAAGGUCAGCUUACUAGGACUAGCAGAUAUAUUAUCAGCCUCAAUUGGAGGAUUCUCAUGGGCUCCCUUGAUUUCAAAGAUCUGCAAGAAUAAAGUCGAGGCGGAGGCUUUGUUUACUGGUCUUAGUGCCUUGAUAUGUCGAGGACAGCAUGGAUCCCAGGUCCAACAUAUAGAUGGAAUCCGGAUCGCUGGACUUCCUUUUGAUGGUGCAAGAGAAAGUAGCCUAAGUGGUAGCUCUACUUUCACUUCGGAUUCCUAUGAGAAUAAGCUGAGCUCGGUAAACUCUACCAAGGAUCGUUCUUCGGGAGAAUAUACAUAUUCAGAAAGGACUGAUGUGUCAGAUAUGCAAGUGAAAAGUGUUUCUUCUUCAGACAUUCGAAUCAGUGUUUCCAGUGCCCUUAGCACAUCCAGCCAUCAAGCUUCUAGUUCUGGUCGUUCGCUCUCCUAUUUUUCUGCUCAAUAUGUAAGGAGCUGAGUCAUGUGCAUUGUAGCCUGUAUUUUUUUUAUUUUUUAGCAAUUGAAUAUAUUUGAUGAACAUCAGAGAUGCAUAUACUUUUUUCUCCAAGUUUCAGCAUGUAGUGGUUAUCAGGGAGUCGCCAUCUUGGAAGUAUAGUAGCUGAAUUUAUUUGAGUAGUCUUUUAUCCAGGGUACUAAAUUUUUUUGUUAAAAAUGUCACUCCAUUUAUGUCCUAGUGUCCGCAUCCUUAUCUCUACUACUUUUGGCUGCCUAGGUAAGAAGUUACAUCCAUAUGACCUUUGUGAUAUCUUUUUUGCUAUAUGUACUUUUACCAGGCAUAAAUGUGAUCUGAUUUGUGUAGCUUGCUCGUCUUGCUAAGAUGGAGGUUGAGUAUCGACGUAUCCAGAUCAUAGAGAUUGGUCUUCCAAUGGGUAGACAUAUUAGGAUGAGAGACACCCCGGGGGUCUAAAAUCUGAUGUUGAGUCCGCAUUGCAAGUUCUGAAUUUUGCAAUAUAAGUUGACUGAGAUGGGAGAGCAUGAACAAGUGGAUAGACUUGAGGUGAUUUUAAUAUUUUAUGAUAUUAUCCACCCAACCGUCUCAGCUUUCUUAAGAACUAACUAGUUCAUUUACAAUAUGUUUCUUGUCACAUCUGUGCCUUUUAUUUUUCUUAGGUUUUUCCGUCUCCCCAUUCAUGUAUCUAAAAAAGAUCUCUUCACAGCUCUGGAAACAAUCCAAUGGAUGUGGAUGUAGGAAACACUUCAAGUGACCAACAUAUUCCAGCAGAGAGGUUGCACAUAACAUACAAGUCUGAAGCUUUGUUUUGUUUAUGCCUAAUCCUUAGCUGUCCUUGUUUUUUGAUAACAUGCAGGAUUGAAGCAUCUGAAGUAAUUCUUGGUAAGCAUGUGUUGGAAAACCAUAUAGAUCAAAUGUCAACUGAUGAAGUCGAGCAAUCGAUUAACAGGGACUACAAGAUACAAACAGGGUAAUGAUGUGGAAUGGUAUUGUUCGAAUCGUAUAGCUACCAUUCUAGCAAGAUGUUUACCUACAGGUCCCUGGCCAUGAUGUGUCAUGAUGGAUGUCUGAUGAAUCCAACUAAAGCUCUACAUUUGUAACGAACGCUUUCUGACGAGGGCACUGCGAUAACACGCCUUCUAUUCUAGUAUGCUUAGUUAGAUUCAAUGUUAGCGCAAACGACUGAUGAUAAGUUUUUCGGUUAGUAUUUUAAUUUGGAUUUAGAGUACACUUAUGUAUGAUUUAUUUGACAAUGCUUAUUUAUGAGACAUUGAAUUGUACCUAUCUAUAUUACAUUAAAUAUGAUGUUAUUAAAUAUGUGUGU